rnacentral:pre_miRNA from 1 species
UCUUAUACAUGAGCAAAGAAAGUGAUUUUUUGAGAUGGGGUUUACUCCUGCUGAAGAUGCUGUGAA